ACGUUUAGCUCAGUUGGUUAGAGCAUCUGCCUUACAAGCAGGGGGUCACAGGUCCGAGUCCUGUAACGUCC
rnacentral:tRNA from 1 species